CUUCAGUGAUGAUACGAUGACGAGUCCGAAUAGGACCCAUCCUGUCUCUUGUGUCCUGGCUGGGGGCCACGUUCUGUGUCCCCGAGUGCAGGGCCCUGAGCAGAGUGUCCUUAUUGUUUGAUGACAUAGAGGCAUUUGUCUGAGAAGG
ensembl:snoRNA SNORD15 Small nucleolar RNA SNORD15